GGGUUGUGAGGUUAAGCGACUAAGCGUACACGGUGGAUGCCCUGGCAGUCAGAGGCGAUGAAGGACGUGCUAAUCUGCGAUAAGCGUCGGUAAGGUGAUAUGAACCGUUAUAACCGGCGAUUUCCGAAUGGGGAAACCCAGUGUGAUUCGUCACACUAUCAUUAACUGAAUCCAUAGGUUAAUGAGGCGAACCGGGGGAACUGAAACAUCUAAGUACCCCGAGGAAAAGAAAUCAACCGAGAUUCCCCCAGUAGCGGCGAGCGAACGGGGAGCAGCCCAGAGCCUGAAUCAGUGUGUGUGUUAGUGGAAGCGUCUGGAAAGGCGCGCGAUACAGGGUGACAGCCCCGUACACAAAAAUGCACAUAUUGUGAGCUCGAUGAGUAGGGCGGGACACGUGGUAUCCUGUCUGAAUAUGGGGGGCCCAUCCUCCAAGGCUAAAUACUCCUGACUGACCGAUAGUGAACCAGUACCGUGAGGGAAAGGCGAAAAGAACCCCGGCGAGGGGAGUGAAAAAGAACCUGAAACCGUGUACGUACAAGCAGUGGGAGCACGCUUAGGCGUGUGACUGCGUACCUUUUGUAUAAUGGGUCAGCGACUUAUAUUCUGUAGCAAGGUUAACCGAAUAGGGGAGCCGAAGGGAAACCGAGUCUUAACUGGGCGUUAAGUUGCAGGGUAUAGACCCGAAACCCGGUGAUCUAGCCAUGGGCAGGUUGAAGGUUGGGUAACACUAACUGGAGGACCGAACCGACUAAUGUUGAAAAAUUAGCGGAUGACUUGUGGCUGGGGUGAAAGGCCAAUCAAACCGGGAGAUAGCUGGUUCUCCCCGAAAGCUAUUUAGGUAGCGCCUCGUGAAUUCAUCUCCGGGGGUAGAGCACUGUUUCGGCAAGGGGGUCAUCCCGACUUACCAACCCGAUGCAAACUGCGAAUACCGGAGAAUGUUAUCACGGGAGACACACGGCGGGUGCUAACGUCCGUCGUGAAGAGGGAAACAACCCAGACCGCCAGCUAAGGUCCCAAAGUCAUGGUUAAGUGGGAAACGAUGUGGGAAGGCCCAGACAGCCAGGAUGUUGGCUUAGAAGCAGCCAUCAUUUAAAGAAAGCGUAAUAGCUCACUGGUCGAGUCGGCCUGCGCGGAAGAUGUAACGGGGCUAAACCAUGCACCGAAGCUGCGGCAGCGACGCUUAUGCGUUGUUGGGUAGGGGAGCGUUCUGUAAGCCUGCGAAGGUGUGCUGUGAGGCAUGCUGGAGGUAUCAGAAGUGCGAAUGCUGACAUAAGUAACGAUAAAGCGGGUGAAAAGCCCGCUCGCCGGAAGACCAAGGGUUCCUGUCCAACGUUAAUCGGGGCAGGGUGAGUCGACCCCUAAGGCGAGGCCGAAAGGCGUAGUCGAUGGGAAACAGGUUAAUAUUCCUGUACUUGGUGUUACUGCGAAGGGGGGACGGAGAAGGCUAUGUUGGCCGGGCGACGGUUGUCCCGGUUUAAGCGUGUAGGCUGGUUUUCCAGGCAAAUCCGGAAAAUCAAGGCUGAGGCGUGAUGACGAGGCACUACGGUGCUGAAGCAACAAAUGCCCUGCUUCCAGGAAAAGCCUCUAAGCAUCAGGUAACAUCAAAUCGUACCCCAAACCGACACAGGUGGUCAGGUAGAGAAUACCAAGGCGCUUGAGAGAACUCGGGUGAAGGAACUAGGCAAAAUGGUGCCGUAACUUCGGGAGAAGGCACGCUGAUAUGUAGGUGAAGUCCCUUGCGGAUGGAGCUGAAAUCAGUCGAAGAUACCAGCUGGCUGCAACUGUUUAUUAAAAACACAGCACUGUGCAAACACGAAAGUGGACGUAUACGGUGUGACGCCUGCCCGGUGCCGGAAGGUUAAUUGAUGGGGUCAGCGCAAGCGAAGCUCUUGAUCGAAGCCCCGGUAAACGGCGGCCGUAACUAUAACGGUCCUAAGGUAGCGAAAUUCCUUGUCGGGUAAGUUCCGACCUGCACGAAUGGCGUAAUGAUGGCCAGGCUGUCUCCACCCGAGACUCAGUGAAAUUGAACUCGCUGUGAAGAUGCAGUGUACCCGCGGCAAGACGGAAAGACCCCGUGAACCUUUACUAUAGCUUGACACUGAACAUUGAGCCUUGAUGUGUAGGAUAGGUGGGAGGCUUUGAAGUGUGGACGCCAGUCUGCAUGGAGCCGGCCUUGAAAUACCACCCUUUAAUGUUUGAUGUUCUAACGUGGACCCGUGAUCCGGGUUGCGGACAGUGUCUGGUGGGUAGUUUGACUGGGGCGGUCUCCUCCUAAAGAGUAACGGAGGAGCACGAAGGUUGGCUAAUCCUGGUCGGACAUCAGGAGGUUAGUGCAAUGGCAUAAGCCAGCUUGACUGCGAGCGUGACGGCGCGAGCAGGUGCGAAAGCAGGUCAUAGUGAUCCGGUGGUUCUGAAUGGAAGGGCCAUCGCUCAACGGAUAAAAGGUACUCCGGGGAUAACAGGCUGAUACCGCCCAAGAGUUCAUAUCGACGGCGGUGUUUGGCACCUCGAUGUCGGCUCAUCACAUCCUGGGGCUGAAGUAGGUCCCAAGGGUAUGGCUGUUCGCCAUUUAAAGUGGUACGCGAGCUGGGUUUAGAACGUCGUGAGACAGUUCGGUCCCUAUCUGCCGUGGGCGCUGGAGAACUGAGGGGGGCUGCUCCUAGUACGAGAGGACCGGAGUGGACGCAUCACUGGUGUUCGGGUUGUCAUGCCAAUGGCACUGCCCGGUAGCUAAAUGCGGAAGAGAUAAGUGCUGAAAGCAUCUAAGCACGAAACUUGCCCCGAGAUGAGUUCUCCCUGACCCUUUAAGGGUCCUGAAGGAACGUUGAAGACGACGACGUUGAUAGGCCGGGUGUGUAAGCGCAGCGAUGCGUUGAGCUAACCGGUACUAAUGAACCGUGAGGCUUAACCUUACAACGCCGAAG
rnacentral:rRNA from 1 species